rnacentral:rRNA from 1 species
AUGGCCACGGACGCACAGCACCAGCGACACAGCCGCAACGGCGGCGUGCACACCGGCCACCACUUCCUCAUCGUGGCCUACGGCAUCCAGAGCCACCUCAACCCGUGCCGCGUCCUCGCGCACCGCCUCGCGCGCCUCCACGGCGUCGACGGCUCCGGGGCCGUCCUCGCCACGGUCUCCCUCCCGGUGUCCGCUCACCGCCGCAUGUUCCCUUCGUCCGGAGACGUCGACAAUGAUGAUAAAGCCACCGACGGCGUCGUCUCUUACGCUCCAUACUCCGACGGCCUCGACGACGGCUCCAUGGCCAGGGACGGCGAGGCGAGGGCGCGCAGCCGCCAGGCCACCUUUGAGAGCCUGUCAGCCGUCGUCGCCACCCUCGCCGCACGUGGCCGGCCGGUGACGUGUGUCGUUUGCAGCAUGGUUCUCCCCGCGGCGCUGGACGUCGCGCGUGAGCACGGCAUCCCGCUGGCCGUGUACUGGAUCCAACCGGCCACCGUGCUCGCCGCGUACUACCACUACUUCCACGGCCACGGCGACCUCCUCGCGUCCCACGCCGCCGACCCCGCGUACGAGGUGUCCCUGCCCGGGCUACACCGCCCUCUCCGGAUCCGCGACUUCCCGUCCUUCCUCGUCGACACGACGGGCAGCGAGCUGGCCAAGGUCUUCAACGAAGCGGCCCGAGAACUGUUCGAGCACUUGGGCGAUCACGGCUGCACCAAGGUUCUCGUGAACACUUUCGACGAGCUGGAGCCGGCAGCGCUGGCAGCCAUGAAGGAGCACCUAGACGUGUUCGCCGUCGGGCCGGUGAUCGGGUCCUCCUCGGCCGAGCCGCGCAUCCACCUGUUCAACCACGCCGGCGCCGACGAGAAGAGGUACAUGGAGUGGCUGGGUGCGCAGGCGGCGAGGUCGGUGCUGUACGUUUCAUUUGGGAGCAUAUGGACGUACAGCAAGAAGCAAAUGGAGGAGAUUGCGAACGGGCUGCGGCGGUGCGGGCGGCCGUACCUGCUCGUCGUGCGCAAUGACGGGCGGCAGGAGGACGUGAGCCGGAGCCUAGACGACCUCGUGCUAGAGGGGCAGGGCAUGGUGGUGGAGUGGUGCGACCAACCCAAGGUCCUGUCGCACGCGUCCGUGGGAUGCUUCGUCACGCACUGCGGCUGGAACUCGACGCUGGAGGCCAUGGCCCUCGGCGUGCCGGUCGUCGCCGCGCCAAGCUUGUUCGACCAGCCGACGAACGCCUUCUUGAUAGAGGAGGAGUGGGCUGCCGGCGUCAGAGGGGAGCGCAACAGCGAGGGCGGCUUCACCGGGGAGGAGCUCGCAAGGUGCGUCGAGCUGCUCAUGGGUCAUGGCCCGAGGGCCAUUGAGAUCAGGGAAAGAGUGGACGCUCUGAAAGGGAUGACGCGAGAGGCGGCGGCUUCGGGCGGGCCGGCGGAGCGGAGCCUCCGAAGCUUUGUCAUGGCGGCCGGUUCAAUCGUCGGAUGA